rnacentral:lncRNA from 1 species
CAAAGAGGCAGCUAGCUCCAUCACGGGGUCCACAAGCUGACGUACUGCCUUUGCGCAUGUCAGCCAUCACGGUAGGCACGGCAUCUCUGUGAUGUUCAUGCAGGACCUCUGUGAGCACAGCGGUACCUGCUCCCACCACACCCUCACAAGAUCGCUGCCCUCCUCACCCCACCCCCACCCCGAACGCCACAGAAAAAGAGUGGUAACCUGGGCUCUCUCGGCCACCUUGGCUUGCUUCCCAGUUUCUGUCUUUAGGAUCCUCGACCCAGGUUUCUCUUCCUGGUUGACGGGCAGGUCUGGGGCUCCUCUUCUCUUCUGCCGGGCCAUGGUGAUCCAGGGUGGGGUGGGUUGCCCAUCAGCCCCAGGACCUGUAGCCGCAGGAGGCUGACCCUUUUCUGUGAUAAAGGCCAAGAAGGAGCAAUGUUAGGCAGAUAGUCCCACUCUCCCCUUCAGUCCCACCCACAGCUUCUCUCCCAUACAAGAUGUCUCAAAUAGAUUACCUCCUCUGGUCUGAGCCGCCAAAACCACAAGAUGCAGCUGCCACCCCAACCUGUGCACUUUGGAGCUAAUUUCUACCAGGGCCUUCUCUCUGGGAGGAGCUGGAAUGUAUGCACAGAUAGGAUGCCUUUGAUAAGAGUCUACAUUUGGGACCAGCCACCCGCCCCCACUCCGGAUUUACUUGACGCGCUAAAAACAUUCCCUUUGUGGGACGUGAUGCCAUUUCUACAACCAUCUGUCUUCACCUGACACAGGAAGUUGGGGCCUGCAUGGUUAACACCGGCUGUUUUUCUUCUCCUGCUCUACAUUCUUUUAAAGGGCCCUCUUUGCCCUCUCCUGCCAUUUCUUCACUUAGUGACCAGGAGCUCCCGCAGAACUCUUCCUGUGUCUCACCCUCACUCCCAUCCCUAUCCCAGAGGCAGCUACUCUCUUCGAAACAGACGGAACAUUUUCUCAGGGUUUGAACUUUAUUUUCUUGGCUAACAACAUAUUCCUCGAACAGUUCUGAUAAGAUUAAAUUCACAACCCGAGGAACUUGCCAUUCCAGUUUGAAAUCAGAGCAGAGAAGUAGCUUGUUGAAGGCCAGGC